rnacentral:rRNA from 1 species
UGUAAGCGUAUACCAAAGUUGUUGCAGUUAAAACGCUCGUAGUCGGAAUUUGGCAGUUCCGGAAGUGUGCACGUCGUGUGCGCACUUUGCGGGGACUGCUUUUGUGGUCUUGCGUAGGAUGAGGCACUUUCAUUAGUGAACGUCCUCACGCAACCACUCCUUACUGUGAGAAAAUCAGAGUGCUCAAAGCAGGCAUUUGCCGUGAAUGUAUUAGCAUGGAAUAAUAGAAUAGGACUCGGUUCUAUUUUGUUGGUUUGUUGGGACUGAGUAAUGAUUAAGAGGGACAGUUGGGGGCAUUUGUAUUCCGGCGCUAGAGGUGAAAUUCUUAGAUUGCCGGAAGACAAACUGCUGCGAAAGCGUCUGCCAAGGAUGUUUUCAUUGA